rnacentral:rRNA from 1 species
GAGGAAUAUUGGACAAUGGAUGGAAAUCUGAUCCAGCCAUGCCGCGUGAAGGAAGAAGGUCCUAUGGAUUGUAAACUUCUUUUGUAUGGGAGCAAUAAGGCCUACGAGUAGGUUGAUGAGAGUACCAUACGAAUAAGCACCGGCUAACUCCGUGCCAGCAGCCGCGGUAAUACGGAGGGUGCAAGCGUUAUCCGGAUUUAUUGGGUUUAAAGGGUGCGUAGGCGGUUAUUUAAGUCAGUGGUGAAAGUUUUCGGCUCAACCGGAAAAUUGCCAUUGAUACUGGGUAGCUAGAAUAUGGUUGCUGUGAGUAGAAUGUGUGGUGUAGCGGUGAAAUGCAUAGAUAUCACACAGAAUACCGAUUGCGAAGGCAUCUCACAAAGCCAUCAUUGACGCUGAGGCACGAAAGUGUGGGGAUCAAAC